CCCUGUAGCUCAGUUGGUAGAGCAUGGUGUUCGCAACGCCAGGGUUGUGGGUUCGAUUCCCACAGGGG
rnacentral:tRNA from 1 species